UUCAUUAACUGAACAACUACAUGAUGUGCUAGACACAGAACCAGGAAAUUUCAUGUAUUUUCUAAUUUAAUUUCACAAUGACCAUAGGAGGAAAGCCCUCUUACUAUCCCCAUUGUAAAGGUGAAGAAAAUGUGAGCUCGAGGACGAAGAGAACUUGUCCCAAAUUCCACAGCUGAUAAAUGGCACACAGAAGCCAUAAUCCAGUUUCAGAUGGACAGAGAGACCAAGACCCAGACACCACCUCAGUAUGGAAUGGAUAUGGAAAAAGAUCAGUAUUAUCAGGGUGCAGAAUGGAGAGGUUAAGAACAUUUUGCAACAUCUAAUAGAAAAGAAAGCUCUUCUGGGUCCCCCAGAAAGGACCUUACAGUGGACACACAGUUGCAGAUGAUAAAUCAGUCUUUUGAAUAUCUUCCUAAUGGCAACUAUGACUAGUCAUAAAGAAAAAGAGAAAAACUACAACUUUGGACCAUGACAUGAAGCAAUACAGGCAUAUGGGGAGCCAGGGGAAUUGCAAUUCUAGUUCAGGUGAA